AUCUUUCUAAUAUAAAUUAAUAUAAGUGACUUCCAAUCAUUUAAUCUUGGUUAAACCCCAGGGAAAGAUA
rnacentral:tRNA from 1 species